AGAGAGAGAGAGAGAGAGAGAGAGACUAUAAAGCUUUUUGUGAAUGAGUUAGAUUUUGAGCUCAGAGAAAAGAAAUACACGCACGCACACACAUAGUUCACACACACACUGGUGCUGUGACGGCUGCUGCUGUGACUGUAGUAGGCUGGUGCUGUGACUGUAGUAGGCUGGUGGUGUGACUGUAGUAGGCUGGUGCUGUGACUGUAGUAGGUUGGUGGUGUGACUGUAGUAGGCUGGUGCUGUGACUGUAGUAGGUUGGUGGUGUGACAGCUGUGUAGGCUGGUGCUGUGACUGUAGUAGGUUGGUGGUGUGAUGGCUGUGUAGGUUGGUGGUGUGACUGUAGUAGGUUGGUGGUGUGACUGUAGUAGGUUGGCGGUGUGAUGGCUGUGACUUUAGUAGGUUGGUGGUGUGACGGCUGUGACUGUAGUAGGUUGGUGGUGUGACUGUAGUA
ensembl:lncRNA